GAUGAACGCUGGCGGCGUGCCUAAUACAUGCAAGUCGAACGAAAAGACGAGGAGCUUGCUCCUCUGACGUUAGCCGCGGGCGGGUGAGUCACGCGUGGAUAACCUCCCUAUCAGACUGAGAACUCUUCGAGACUCCGGCGCUUAUACCGGAUAAUCUCUUGCACCGCAUUGUUCGAUGGUGAAAGUCGGUUUUGCUGGCACUUCUAGCUGCUUCCGGGCCGCAUUAGCUGGUUGGUAAGGUAACGGCUUAUCAAGGCGACGAUGCGUAGCCGACCUGAGAGGGGGAUCGGCCACACGGGAACUGAGCCACGGUCCAUACUCCUAAGGGAGGCAGCAGUAGGGAAUCUUCCGCAAUGGGCGAAAGCCUGACGGAGCAACGCCGCGUGAGUGAUGAAGGUCUUCGGAGCGUAAAACUCUGUUAUGAGGGAAGAACAAAUGUGUAAGUAGCUAUGCACGGCUUGACGGUACCGAAUCAGAAAGCCACGGCUAACUACGUG
rnacentral:rRNA from 1 species